AACAGUUACUUGUUCAUCGUUAUCAGUGGACAGAGAAAAACCAGUGAAUGCCAUAGUGACUCCUUACAUUCCAGAUAUGCUCCUUUCUGACUUGUUUCAUCAAUUGUAACUCCUCCUGAUAAUCAAGAUCAAUCAUCCCACCAAUAUCAUCCAUGUUUUCUUUGCCUAUUGGUACUCUGGCAUGAAGUUUCCAAAAAGAACAGGUUGUAACUGUAGCUUUAAGUUUAAAAUUGUAGCUUUAAAGUGGAACUAGUAUGUCCCCUGGUGGAACAUCAUCCCCACCCCAGGAACCAAGGUCCCAGACAAAUAGCCCUUUCUAUUUCUCUAACUUUGUGUUGUACCACUCUCCCAUUUGUUCACUGGACUCCUGACACACUGGCCUUUUGCAGUUCUUAGAAGAUGGCAGGCUUUCUCC
rnacentral:lncRNA from 1 species